rnacentral:lncRNA from 1 species
AACCCAAACCUCUACUCUCGAACCAAUUAGCACCGAUAACCUUGUGGACCGAAGAAAUAGUGAACCUCGUUUGCGGCUAUUAAUAAUCAAUUCGAAAUUUGAUACAUGAGUUUAAUCGGGAAAGGAACGACUCGAUUGACGAAUUCCAUCAUCGCUGGAACGUCCCAAGGGACUGGCCGUCGAUGAAGAUUUCUCUAUCCUUCUCUCUCCCCGUUUAUCAUGCAGUGUAUACCACAGCGAUUGAAAUGGAGCCGAAGUUGAUUGUUGAACUCAGCGACGUAAGCCUCUUCGCAAUUCGACGCCAACGGACGACGGAACGCUUAGUCAUAGGCCUCGAGCUUCUGUCUCCGAUGUCGAAGAAGCAUUCGCACCAAAUGAAUCCACCGGCCUGCUCGCGCAACUCUCGAUGUUGCUCUCCCCACAGGAACUGGAGGUGAUUCAGUUCGAGGUAAGGUCAGGCCGCCGGAGCAGCUGACGGCGAGUAGGCGGAGACAUCUGAACACUCGAAUCGACGGGAAAUGUACGUCAGGCGGGAGAGGAAAUCCAGGGGAUCCAGGUUGGAGCUUCGUGCGUCUUCCGUGAUCGGAAAUGGAAGACUGGC